rnacentral:rRNA from 1 species
CCUUGCCAGCCCGCUCAGAAACUCAAAGGAAUUGACGGGGCCCGCACAAGCGGUGGAGCAUGUGGUUUAAUUCGAUGAUACGCGAGGAACCUUACCUGGGCUCAAAUGUAUGUUGACGUAUUCUGAAAGGGAUACUUCUUCGGACAAUAUACAAGGUGCUGCAUGGUUGUCGUCAGCUCGUGCCGUGAGGUGUCGGGUUAAGUCCCAUAACGAGCGCAACCCCUAUCAUUAGUUGCCAUCAGGUCAAGCUGGGGACUCUAAUGAAACUGCCUACGCAAGUAGUGAGGAAGGUGGGGAUGACGUCAAAUCAGCACGGCCCUUACGUCCAGGGCUACACACGUGCUACAAUGGCCGGUACAAAGGGCAGCUACCUGGUGACAGGAUGCUAAUCUCAAAAGCCGGUCUCAGUUCGGAUCGGAGUCUGCAACCCGACUGCAUGAAGUUGGAAUCGCUAGUAAUCGUGGAUCAGCCAAGCCGCGGUGAAUACGUUCCCGGGCCUU